CGCUCCGGCCGCGCUUCCCCUUGCCGCGCCGCACCUUAGCCAUGCCAGCCCCCGCCUGUCCAGCCCGGACCAUGCACGCCCCGUCCCAGCCACGCCUACCCCCGUCGCGUUUCGCCCUGGCCACGCUCGCCGCCGCCGCCGCACUCUGCCCCGGCCAUGCCCGCCCAUUUCGCGCCUCUCUCGCCCUUCUCCGGCGCCGCCCCGCCUUGAUUCGGGCCGCCGGCGGCCUGCUCCAUCCCGCCCGUGGUUGGACUCAUCUUCGCGGUGAAGGCAGAGCCGGCCACAAUUUGGACCGGCAACGACAAAUUCCGGCGUACGGCGACCUUUUUCGAUGUGUGGCGAUGGAUUCCGGCGAGUUUCGGGUUGAUUCCGGCCAAUUACGCGACAACGCAUCUGCUCAGACGAGGUUUGACUGUUUACUGGUUAAACUGUAUAUUGCCUUCCAAUUUGUACAUAUGAGUUUCUUGUGGAUGGAUUCUUGGUGCCCCUUAAAAUUUUGAAGGGUCGAUCAAACUUUACGGGACCUACUAGGAAUCGUUUUUUAACCGAAACUGUAAAUGUCUUAUUUAUUAUGGGUUUGGCCGCUUUUAAGAGGUCUGCUAGAGAUGUUCUACUUUUUUUUUACUAAAAAACGUAAAUCCUUUUUUUAACGGAACCUCGUCAGAUAAGUCUUGCCCUGUCUUUCCCGAGCAUUGCUCGGAUGCUCUUAGCUAAUUCCGCUUGAUUCAACCCGGGUUUAUUUCCAAUUGGUCAGCAUAGCGUGUACGAAAUGGUAUUGCAAUUAUGUAGACAUUAUCCGUGUGUUGGUCGUUUCUCGGAAGUUCCAGGCCAGAAAUUUUUCUCGAAUGGAUCGAGAGUCAUUCUAGUCCAUUUCCGUGGCAUUGUGAUGUACAUGUACUCAUUGCCACAAGAAAUGGGCGCUACGAUUU
rnacentral:rRNA from 1 species